GACGGGGCCGCACAAGCGGUGGAGCAUGUGGUUAAUUCGACGCAACGCGAAGAACCUUACCAGGGCUUGACAUCCCCUGACCGCGUAUGAAAGUACGUUUUCACCUCGGGUGACAGGGAGACAGGUGGUGCAUGGUUGUCGUCAGCUCGUGUCGUGAGAUGUUGGGUUAAGUCCCGCAACGAGCGCAACCCCUACGUUUAGUUGCUAACGCGUGAAGGCGAGCACUCUAGACGAACUGCCGUUGACAAAACGGAGGAAGGUGGGAUGACGUCAAAUCAUCAUGCCCCUUAUGUUCUGGGCUACACACGUGCUACAAUGGCCGGUACAGACGGACGCAAAGCCGCGAGGUGGAGCAAAUCCUAAAAAGCCGGUCUCAGUUCGGAUUGCAGGCUGCAAUUCGCCUGCAUGAAGUCGGAAUCGCUAGUAAUCGCAGGUCAGCAUACUCGCGGUCGAAUACGUUCCGGGCCUU
rnacentral:rRNA from 1 species